rnacentral:tRNA from 1 species
CGGGGUGUAGCGCAGAGGUAGCGUGCUGAGUUCGGGACGCAGAGGCUGGAGGUUUAAAUCCUCUAACCCCGACCA